GGUCAUGAGUGUCAGCGCGCAGCCCCGGCUUGCUGACCGGCAACCCUCCACCGCGGUGGGGUGCCCCGGGUGAUGACCUGGUUUCCCGGCCUCAGGGCCGGGUGGCAAGCGCGAGGA
rnacentral:ncRNA from 1 species